rfam:Gossypium hirsutum cultivar TM-1 chromosome 16, whole genome shotgun sequence
CUAUCUAUGGUUGAAUGGUUAAAGUGCCCAAUUCAUAUUUGGCAAAUUCAUAAGUUCAAUUCCUACUAGAUGCA